GCCCGGAUGGUGAAAUAGGUAGACACUACGGACUUAAAAUCCGUCGCGCGGCUUCGCGCAUGCCGGUUCGAUUCCGGCUCCGGGCACCA
rnacentral:tRNA from 1 species